UGUCUGGUUSGACGACAUCAGCAUAUAAAUAUACGACGCACAAUGAUAAGAAUAAGUUAAAACCAUUUCCCAUCACUCUUGUGGUAGUUCUUAUGAGAAUUCUAUUGACUUGUUUCAUUUGCUUACUUCUUGUUAUAUGCGUUUGGAAAAGAAAAACAGGAACUUCUGAACGAGACGAAGUUAGCCAACGACAACCGUCAGAGAUGGCUACCAUUACAUGCAUAAAUAUCAAUGAAGGGAGCUCGUCCAUGC